rnacentral:rRNA from 1 species
UACAGAGGUCCCGAGCGUUGUUCGGAUUUACUGGGCGUAAAGGGCGCGUAGGUGGUUGGGUAAGUCUGUUGUGAAAGCUCAGGGCUUAACCCUGAAAUGGCAUUGAAUACUACUUAACUGGAGGUUUGGAGGGGGGACUGGAAUUCUUGGUGUAGCAGUGAAAUGCGUAGAUAUCGAGAGGAACACCAGUGGCGAAGGCGAGUCCCUGGACAACACCUGACACUGAGGCACGAAAGCUAGGGGAGCAAACAGG